UGGCGAGGCAGACCAUGGACCAGGCAGCCAGCAGACAAAUGGUCAUCCUCCAGUUGAGGCCUCCGCUCUCAGAGAUGGAGUCAGAGAUGUUCAAAGCCUCACGGGGACACUCGUGCCAUGGCAGAGGCUGCUGGAAGGACUGGGAGAAGUAGAAGAGACUCCACCCAAUGAUCACAUUGUAGUAGAGGGCCACAAAGAAGCACACCUGCAGAACAAAAAGUGUGGUGCCCGUAGUGGCAGUGCCGCUGACUCACCACACAGCUGGCAAACCCGAUGCCCCCCAGACGAGGGCUGAUGUAGUUCCACACCCCGAUGCUGCCCCUGCGGAUCCGCUGCCCCACUGACAGCUCCAGGAAGAACAGGGGGAUGCCAAUCACAAUCAGAAGGAUCAGGUAGGGCACCAGCUUCCCAGGCAACCACAGCUGCAUGAAUGCGGUGAUAUAGCUUUCCCAAGGCAAAGAAGGGAGGAUAUACUGUGAAGACUGAGUCACUGGAUUACUGGUGCUCUUCCAUGCCAUCCCUAGGAGGGGUGCCUCACUGGAGUGGGUUGAGUCGCUGACGUGGUCUUCCUGUCUGGGUUGACCCCCCCCCCCCUCCCUUGGGUUGUGCCGUGGCAGAAAUGUUUGUGGACUAUACUUGGC